rnacentral:rRNA from 2 species
CCCCAGCGCCACAAGUGGGGAUCGGUUUUAUUUGGUCUAAAGCGUUCGUAGCAGGUCUUGUAAAUUUCUUGUGAAAUUGUUGCGCUUAACGUAACAGACUGCAGGAAAGACUGCAAGACUUGGAACUGGGAGGCGUAAGCGGUAUUCUCGGGGGAGCGGUAAAAUGUUAUAAUCCCGAGAGGACCACCGGUGCCGAAGGGGGCUUACGAGAACAGAUUCGACUGUGAGGGACGAAAGCUAGGGGAGCGAAACGG